rnacentral:sRNA from 1 species
AAGAGGAAGCGCCCAUGCAUCGGAGAUGCAUAUCGGAAUGGCGCUGACGAACUGCCGCCGAAUGUAAAUGAGGGGGCGUUACAACGA